UAGAUGGGUGGGUGGCCGGGAAGACUUCGGCCACUGACGGGGGGGGGUCAGCGAGGAUGUGUGACACUGUCUCAGAGAUGGAUCUGAAGCGCAGGUUUCUGUCGGAUCACCGUCCUUGGCUAGACAUGGAAAGUACACAGAUGGGGCCGAGAACGUGUGGACAGCCUGUGCGGUCCCAGAGUCCCGGUCACACGGGCCGCCCGCAUCGCGUGGCCCGGCCUCUUUAAUACCCGCUCGCAGUGUCUGCGAUGGAGUGGCAUCCGGACGAGCAGGGACUUCGCCAGGUUCUUCAACUCUUGAAGGAUUCGCAGUCUCCGAACACAGCAACGCAGAGGGCUGUGCAGGAAAAACUGGAGCAGCUGAACCAGUAUCCUGACUUUAAUAAUUAUCUCAUAUUUGUCCUAACAAGCCUGAAAUCUGAAGGUAUGGAUGUACAACAACAUAAAAUUAUUGUGUUUGAUUGGCUUGUGGCGUGGAACAGGUGACUUGUGACCAACUGAAUGAUGGUGUUUGCAAUGCAUACUUGCUAAGAUAAAGCAGUCCCUUUCUUAGAAAAAAAAAAAUAAUAAAAUACUUUGAUGCUUUUAUUUCAACAAAUA